rnacentral:rRNA from 1 species
UAGGGAAUCUUCGGCAAUGGACGAAAGUCUGACCGAGCAACGCCGCGUGAGUGAAGAAGGUUUUCGGAUCGUAAAACUCUGUUGUUAGAGAAGAACAAGGACGUUAGUAACUGAACGUCCCCUGACGGUAUCUAACCAGAAAGCCACGGCUAACUACGUGCCAGCAGCCGCGGUAAUACGUAGGUGGCAAGCGUUGUCCGGAUUUAUUGGGCGUAAAGCGAGCGCAGGCGGUUUCUUAAGUCUGAUGUGAAAGCCCCCGGCUCAACCGGGGAGGGUCAUUGGAAACUGGGAGACUUGAGUGCAGAAGAGGAGAGGGGAAUUCCAUGUGUAGCGGUGAAAUGCGUAGAUAUAUGGGGGAACACCAGUGGCGAAGGCGGCUCUCUGGUCUGUAACUGACGCUGAGGCUCGAAAGCGUGGGGAGCAAACAGG